rnacentral:misc_RNA from 1 species
GAUGAAGAACGUAGCGAAAUGCGAUAAGUAAUGUGAAUUGCAGAAUUCAGUGAAUCAUCGAAUCUUUGAACGCACAUUGCGCCCGCCAGUAUUCUGGCGGGCAUGCCUGUUCGAGCGUCAUUUCAACCCUCAAGACCCCUUCGGGGGACUUGGUGUUGGGGACCGGCAUAGGGGCCUUGCGCCCCUCGCCGCCCCCGAAAUGAAUUGGCGGCCUCGUCGCGGCCUCCCCUGCGUAGUAGCACAACCUCGCAACGGGAACGUGACGGCGGCCACUGCCGUAAAACAACCCAAUUUUAUUAGAGUUGACCUCGAAUCAGGUAGGAAUACCCGCUGAACUUAAGCAUAUCAAUAGCGGAGGA